GGAGGGGACGGGAGGGGAGCAGGGAGCUGGCAGGCAGCCAGCUACCAUCAGAAUUAGCUCAUUGUUCAAUAUAACCAGCUCUGGCAACCAAAUCCCAGCCCGAGAGAGAGGGAGACUUUCCCCCAGCCACCCCCCCACCCCUUUUUCUCCACGACUGCACUUUGGAAGAGAUCAUGUAGAAAGGACAGAAAGUGAACAGGGAGCGGGGGCUUUUGUCUAUCCUUGUGCUACCUGAGAGAAACUGCAAUCCUAAGACUUAACAGAAUCUAAAAAAUG